rnacentral:rRNA from 1 species
UGGGGGAUAUUAGGCAAUGGGGGAAACCCUGACCUAGCAACGCCGCGUGAAGGAAGAAGGCUUUCGGGUUGUAAACUUCUUUGACCGGGGACGAUAAUGACGGUACCCGGAAAACAAGCCACGGCUAACUACGUGCCAGCAGCCGCGGUAAUACGUAGGUGGCGAGCGUUGUCCGGAAUUACUGGGUGUAAAGGGCGUGUAGGCGGGUAUGCAAGUCAGGUGUGAAAUGCCGCAGCUUAACUGCGGAGCUGCAUUUGAAACUGCGUAUCUUGAGUGAUGGAGAGGUAAUUGGAAUUCCCAGUGUAGCGGUGAAAUGCGUAGAUAUUGGGAGGAACACCAGUGGCGAAGGCGGAUUACUGGACAUUAACUGACGCUGAGGCGCGAAAGCGUGGGGAGCAAACA